AUGUAGACCACAAACUUUUAUUUCCAACACAUCACAUGAAAAUCCACAGAAAAGGGGAAAAAAUAGCAAACUUUAUAAAACUGAAAAUUGUACCGGUGAAAUCACUUAUCCAGAAAGUCAAAACCCAGGCCAGAAAUGAAGAAAAAAUAUUUGCAAACUACACAUGUGAUAAAGAACUUGUACCUGCAUAAUAUAAAGUGCUAUGAAACAAGCAGCUACGUUAAAAAAAUGGGUACCAGGAGCUUAUUUAACUAAUAUGCAGAGUACAUCAUGUAAAAUGCUGGGCUGGAUGAAACUCAAGCCGGAAUCAAGAUUGCCAGAAUAAAAUUAUCUCAUACGCAGAUGACACCACCCUUAUGGCAGAAAGCAGAGAGAAACUAAAGAGCCUCUUGAUGAAGGUAGAAGAGGAGAGUGAAAAUGCUGGCUUAAAACUCAGCAUUCAGAAAGCUAAGAUCAUGUCAUCCGAUCCCAUCACUUCAUGGCAAACAGAUGGGGAAACAGUGGAAACAUUGACAGACUUGUUUUCUUGGGCUCCAAAAUCACUGUGGAUGGUGACUGCAGCCAUGAAAUUAAAAGAUGCUUGUUCCUUGGAAGAAAAGCUAUGACCAACCUAGACAAUAUAUUAAAAAGCAGAGACAUCUGCUGACAAAGGUUGGUAUAGUCAAAGCUGUGGUUUUUCCAGUAGUCAUGUAUGGAUGUGAGAGUUGGACCACAAGGAAGCCUGAAUUGAUGCUUUCAAACUGUGGUGCUGAAGAAGACUCUUGAGUCCCGUGGACUGCAAGGAGAUCCAAUCAGUCCAUCCUAAAGGAGAUCAGUCCUGGCUGUUCAUUGGAAAGACUGAUGCUGAAGCUGAAGCUCCAAUAUUUAGGCCACCUGAUUCGAAUGAAGAACUGACUCCCUGGAAAAGAUCCUGAUGCUGGGGAAGAUUGAAGGCAGGAGGAGAAGGGGACGACAGAGGAUGAGAUGGUUGGAUGGCAUCACUGAUCAAUGGACAUGAGUUUGAGCAAACUCUGGGAGAUGGUGAUGGACAGGGAGGCCUGGCGUGAUGCAGUCCAGGGGGUUGCAGAGUUGGACACGACUGAGCGACUGAACAGCAGCCAGUGCCUCCACCAUCGCCUCCUCUGGGCCACCUUGCUCUAGAUGUGCCCAGGCGGCUUCGGGAGCCCAGUGUCUCCCGGCUCUCACCUCACCCCAGCGCUGCCCAGGGCUGUUUGUCAGAAACUGUGCUGGUUACAAAGAGAAGAUGCUCCUUCCCCAUGGCCCUCCCAGGGCAAGGGGCACUUUUAAACAGGCACUUCCAGGAUGGGAAGCCACCUGGGCAGAAGCCUUCCAGAACCCGACUCACCUGGGCAGCCCAUGGAGUUUAUCUGGCCUCCCCCAACCAGGCCUCCACAUCUCCCCUCCUCUCCCUCACUCCUGGGCUCCUCUCCUGGGGAGAGUUCUUUUCUUUUUUUAAGAUUCAUUCAUUUAUUUUACUGCUGGCUGUGGUAGGACUUUAUCACUGCACACGAGCCUCCUCUCUGGUUGUCGGGAGUGGGGGCUCCUCCUCGCCAAGGUCAGCGGGCUUCGCAUCGUGGCGCCUUCUCUUGCCUGGAGCUCAGGCUCCAGAUGGGCCAACUUCAGUAGUUGCAGUGCGUGGGUCCCAGCGCACAGGCUCAGCUGCUGGGGCGCAGCCUCACUCUCUCUGAGGCAUGUGGGAUCAUCCUGGCCAGAGAUCACCAGAGAUCGAACUGGUGUCCCAUGCUUUGCAAGGUGGAUUAAUAACCACUGGACCACCAGGAACGCAUGACAGGUCUUCUUGAAAUUGUUUCCCACUUAUAGGCCAGUUAACAUACUUAGCAGACAGACCAGAGCUGCAGCCCCACGUCCAUCCUGACCUUCAGGACACAGCUGGUCCGUGGACUUGGGACAGCAGGGCCCGUUUUCUGUAAAUGAGCCCCUGGUGGGCAAGGAUCGGCUGACCCGGGCAGCGUGACCCAGCUGGCCAGCCCUUCCCAGGUGUGCCUGCUUGAGGCCCUGGUUCCAGGCAGGAGGGCGCCUGCAGCGGUACCAGACAUCACCUUCUCUGCCAUCAGAGGCCGCAGGGCUGGGCUGGCGAGAGGGAAUGAGGGGCCGUGGCGUGUCAGGGGGUCGCCUGCACGGGGCUCUGCUGGGCCUUCUGCAGGAGUUGCUAGGCUGCCACUUGAUAAGGAAGAGGUUGUGUUGCUGGUACCUGCUGUUGGAAGUCUUCCCAGGCAGAGGUGAGGAAGCAAAAACACAGGCAGUGGGAGCAGGGCAGAGGAGUAACUCAGGACCUGCUGGGGCUUCAGCUUUGGGACAUUGUGGGGUUCAGUUCACGGUGACAGGAGCCUGGCCCUUCAGAACCCAUUGGGGGCUUCAGCUUUGGGACAUUGUGGGGUUCAGUGAAGGCUGAUGGGAGUCUGGUCUCCUCAGGAUUUGCGGAGAAGAGGUGCCAUUGAAAGAGAAGGCGAUACCCUGUUUUUCCCUGCUGGUGCCAGUUUCUCAAGACUACAUGACCACCCGACCAUGAGACCCCUUUGACUAUGUGACCACAGGACUCCAGCUGUGGGCUAAGGAUAAACCCCUCUGGGGCACAAUUUCCCAUCGAUACGGUAUAAGAAGGGUUGGCUGUAACAAGAGAGCACUGGUUUCUCUCUAAAACCACUUUCUUUCUUCCUAUAAUAAAUAUUUCUCUGCCUGACUGUCCGGCUCACUCUCCUUUUCUCCAUGCUCGCCUUACAGCCAGGACUCAGAGUAGCAAAGUCAGGCCUCAGGAAGAGAAUGGAACCUCAGUGAGAAGCGAGCCGGAACUCACUGAGGUUGUAGCCAUGCCCCGGUGUGGAGUGGAGCCUGGCCUCAGUGAGGUCCAGAGCCGGGACUCAGAGUAGUCAAGUCAAUCCUCAGGAAGAGGGAGAAGAGAACCUCAGUGAGAAGCCAGCUGGGCUCAGUGAGAACCCUAGCCAGACCCCAGUGUGGGUGGAGCCAGUCCUCAGUCAGAGAGAAGCUGGGUCUCACUGAGGAGCAGAGCCAGACCUCAGAGAGGACCCGAGUCCAGUCUCUAUGUGGAGUGUAGCUGGGCCUCAGUGUAGAAUGGAGUCUUGCCUCAGAGAACCAAAUUCCGUCCUCAAGGAGGACCAGGCUGGGCCUGAGUGAAGAGUGGAGGUGAACCUUCACUCUCAGUGAAGGAACGUUGGGCUUCAGUGAGGAGGGUAGCUGAACCACAGUGAGGCCCAGAGCAGGACUCAGUGCUGGAGCUGAAUCUCAGUGAGGCCCAGAGCAGGACUCAGUGCUGGAGCCAGGCCCCGGUGCGGAGCAGAGCCAGGCCUACCUGAGGAGUGGCGCUGGCCCCAAGUGAGGAGGGGAGCCUGGCCUCAGAGUAGCAGUCAGGCCUCACGGAGGUGAACCAAACCUCGGUUAGAAGCAAGCCAAAUCUCUGUGAGGACCAGAGCCGGGGCUCACUAAGGACCUGAGCGUGGACUGGAGCUGUGCUUCACUGAGGACGAUACCGUGGCCUCACCGAGAACCACAGCCAGGCCCAUUGCAGGGCGGAGCUGUGCGGCAGUGCUGAGCGGAGCCAGGCCUCUGCAGGAGGAGCUGGGUCUCACGGAGCGGAGCCGAGCGGAGCCUGGCCUCAGUGCGGACCCUACCCGGGCCCCAGAGCACAUCACAGGACCGGAGUGGAACCUCAGUGAGGACGGGAGACAGGCCUCAGUGGGGACCAGAGCCGGUCCUCAUUGUGGACUGGAGCUGGUUCUCAGUGGAGAGCAGAGCCAGGCCUCAGAGGAGCAAAGUCAUGCCUCAAGGAGGAGCACAGCUGAACUGCAGUGAGAAGACAGCCUGGCCUCUGUGAGGACCGUAACCAGGCCCGUGUGGAGCAGAGCUGUCCUCACCGAGGAGGGAGCCGGACCUCAGGGAGCAAGGGAGGCACACGUGAUUGCGCAGUGGGGCCAGGCCUCACCGAGGACCACAGCCAGGCCCAGUGAGGGGCAGAGCCUUGCCGGGUCUCAGUGCGGAGAGGACCUGGCGUGCUGAGCUGAGCCGAGACUCAGGCAGGGGUGCAGCUGGACUUCAGUGAGGAGCAGAGCCAGCUCUCAGCGUUGAGGUCCGGAGCCAGGCCUCUGUGUGGACCAGAGCCGGGACGUAUGAGUACCGGAACCGGGACUCAGAGUAGCAAAGUCAGGCCUGAGAGAGGUGGAGAAUGGAGCGUCAGUGAGAAGUGAGCUGGGCCUCACUGAUCACCAGAUCUGGACCCCCGUGUGGCAUGGAACCAGGCCUCAGUGCAGGGCCCCACUGAAGACUGGAGUUAGGCCCUAGUGGGGAGCAGAGCCACGUCUUAGUGUGAAGCAGACCCGAGCCUCAGUGAGCUCUGGGGCUGGGCCUCUGUGCAGACUGGAGCUGGGACUCAGAAUAGUAAAGUCAAGCCUCAGGGAUGAGAAGGGAACUUCAGUGAGAAGCGAGCCGGGCUCUGUGAGGAGCAGAGCCGAGUCUCACUGAGGACGGAGCCUCAGGUUUUUCUCCCAAGGGCCCCUCCCAGCAGGUCCUUAGGAAAUCUAGUUACUAGUUAUCCUCCACAUGUAUAC
ensembl:lncRNA